ensembl:lncRNA
AUUCAAAGAAAAUUAUAGAAUGGUACACUUCAAAAUAAAUGAGAAUUUGCUUACCACUCGGUACAUGCUUGCUUUGGCUAGUAAGACCUACCUACUAUGGUAUAUGAACUAAGUUGUAUAUUUUGUGGUUUUACAAAGCUUUCGUUGUCAGUACUUUCAUCUCGACAACCUUAACUAUAAAAUAGGAAAGGGUUCCAGUUUGUCUGGGGCCAGUGUCACACCAUAUACAUAAGUAACCGUGAAAAUAAUGCCUCCUAUUUAUUUCCAUGGAAACUACAACAAAGAGCACAAUAACACUAUUUGAUAGAGCAAAUUUUCAGCUACAAAACAAUGUUUUUUUGUGUCAACAUAAUAAAACAGGAGGCAUUACUUUCAGAGGAGACCUUCUACAUCUAUAUGUAUGUUCAGAAACUCACAAAUAAUGUCUUUCUUUGAAGAAACCUAACAGAAAUGUGACACGCUGCAGUGAUCAGGUACCUGUCAACAGCUGUGAUAUUAACCCAAGAAAAGAAAGUAAGAAAGAGAAGAAUGAUUUAAAGGUCUUGUGAGUUAUUAACAGGAAAAUGAGACUAGAAAUGUGCACACAGUUAUGCAAGCUGUAAUACAACGUCUUUUAUCACUGGGCUGCAGGACAGACUGGAUUCAGGCUAAGUGAUCUACCCAGUAUCUAAAGCUCUUCAUUUUUAAGCAAUGGACAGAAGAAGCAGUUAGGCCAUGGGUGUCCAACCUUUUGGCUUGCCAGAGCUGUACUGAAUGAACAGGAAUUGUCUUGAGCCAAAUAUAGAUAAGUUGCUCUGAAAGUAAUGUCUCCUGUUUAUUUCCAUGGAAAUGACACCAGAUGCACUAGUGGAGGUGAUCCACUGUUGUCACUGCUGAAACGCAACACUGCCUCACUGUGCUGACAUCCAUUGUUUGAACUCGAUAAACAUUCAGCAAGCAUCAAAGAAUGUCAUUGGGUGACAUUUUUUCCACAUGGAAGAAUUCAAUGACACAUCCUUGCAUUAUAUGCACUUCCAUGUCAGGUGCCAUCAUGUCAGACUGCCCCUCUGCUGCCAUUUGUCAUACAGCAACAAAAUGUAAGGGAAUACUGGUGGGAAGUUUCAAUCUCCACUGCCAUCCCACCAGCAUCUGCUCCUGAUGUUUUUGUGGGAUAUUUGGCCUUGUUUUUGCGAAAGUAAUGCAUCAGUUUAGUUCAAGGGAAGUGGUUGUAAGGUUUUGAUCAGAGAUUUUUCACAAACUUUUACUGUUUCUUGACAACAGUUGCUCACAAAUGUAUGUACUGCCAAAAAGCAACCUCAUGAAUAAGGUGUGACUGUGAAUCAAAGGACAUUUUUGUCUGAUAAGACAGAUCUUAUAAGGGUCUAGUAAAGAGACAUGAUCAGAUUUUUCUUUGCGUUGGAUAUCUGAUUGCAGCUUUACACACUCCAUUUGAAUGCUUGCAGGUAAUAAGUCAAUUAAAAAUGGAGUUGCAAAUAAACUAAACAAUUGAUGAAGUUUUUGACAAUCUUUAUUCUCCACUAUUCUCAAAUUCCUUUAUCAAAUUGGAAAGCACAUUUGCAUAUAUAUAUAUAGACCAAAUAUAUAUACAUAAACCAAAUAUAUAUAUUUUGCAGUUUACAGGGCUGUGUUUAGUCAAUGCAUCAAAAUGCAUACAAUUGUUUGCUGUAGCUUGAGUUGGCAUUGCACUACAGCCUCUCAGUGCCCUGGUUUCAGCCCAGAUAGUGCCAACCACACGCCGAUGUCUGGCUGUUGGUGAGUGAUGGUGAGUGAGUUGGUGCUCCUGGAGCCAGGCUGAGCUGGGUCACUUGGACAGGCAGAGCUGCCGCCAUGAUGGUGCAGGGUAGAAUGGGCUUGGCCACGCUGCAUGCAGCCCACAGGCCACAGGUUGGGCAUGCAAAGUCUAGUCCGUCAACCACUCCUCUCAAUUGUUUAUAAUCUAUGAAUCUGCUGAGAAUGCACCCUACCCCAUCAUCUGAAUCAUUAAGGAAAACAUUUUGGUCAAUACUGAUGCCAGUACUGACCCCAACAUAUCCCACUAGUAAUGGGACUGCAGCUGAAUGUUGCAUUGCUGAUAACAAUCCCUUGAACCAUGAAGUUCAGCCAGUUUUCAGUCCAUCUCACUGUUCGUUUAUCUAGUUCAUACUUCAUCAGAUUGUCUAUAAAAGAUAUUAUGGGAGAAAGUGCUGAAAGCCUCGCUGACAUCAAAAUAAACAACACAUGAUGCUGCCUUCCCCAAGCCCACCAAGCCAAUUGUUUCAGAAGGCUAAUAGGUUGGUCAAACAUGGUCUGAUCUCCUGAAGUACAGGGUUAUAAUCCCACUGUUUGCCUUUUUCCCUUCCUUCAUGAUCUCAGACACCACCGUCUCAUAACUACCAGAGGCAAUCCUACCUGCAAGCUUCACAUUUCUGACUAGACCUUUGCAACUAUCAGACUCAACAGGGCAUCUCCAUCUGUUGCUUCUUUGAUCACCUGUGUCAAGAAGUUGUCAUCAACCUGUCCUAGAAACCUCCUGGAUUGCUUACACUCAACAGCAUCAGUCUUCUAAAUAUUUCUGUGGAGGACGGAGACCCCAAAAGGACAACUGUCUGCUAGCAGAAGACUUUCUCAAGGUGUCCAAAAAGGGCCUCACUUGCCUGUUUCUGAUCUGGAGGACUGUAGCAGACACCCACUGCAAUGUUGCCUUCUUUAGUUUGCUCUCUAAUCCUAACCUAUAAAGUCUCAGCUGGUCUGGGAUCCAUCCCCAGGCAGAGCUCUCUCAAAUAUUAACUGCCAGUCCCACUCCUCAUUGUCCUGGCCGGUAUGUCCUAAACUGCCCAAAUCUGUCUUCACCAGCAGUUCAGUCAUGAGCCAUCCUGCCACAUUUGCCCAACCAGAUCGUGAGCCAUACAGCUAUACACAAAAGGCUUUAAUUUGUCUUCUUGAUACCUUAUGGUGCAUGUAUUAGUGUACAGACACUUCUGAGUACCCUGCUAGGCUGAUUUCCACUAAGAACUGUGAGAGCUUCUUGAAUACUACUUAUGGGAAAUGUUUUGAACAGUGUGGCAAAUAUCUGGGACAGAAAAAGAAGGCCUUCCAAUACGUCUCUUCAGUGCAUAUCACAUUAUUGAGUUCCUCUUAGUAGCACUUCUAACACUGUCAUGCUUAAUUUUUGUCACCAAACUGAACAAUCUCUUUCACAAUGUUACACACGAACAUUUCAGGGAUGUAGCACAUCUUUUAAAAAGUGCUUAACCCAAUUCAUUUUGGCUGUUCUCUAAUACUUCUCUAAUGAAAUCUAGAUCUAAAGUCAAUAUGAGCAAAGUUCAAAAUUUCACAUGGAGUUUUAGAUAUCUUAAACUUUUCAGUAACAGCAACAGCUUUUCAAAAUAAAGUCCUUUCACAAAUCUUUUCCUGCAGAAACACAGUAUGAGGUUUUUUUUUUAUAUCUUAGCAAAUAGCUUCUAACUUGAGCUAGAAAGAUUUCCUGAAAGGACUUCUAUAUUCUAAAAACUUUAGAAGAUAAAUUACAGAAGUAAGUAAUUCACUGACUUCUGAAAAAAGCCUCAUUAUGGACCUGGUCUUUUAAGAAUGUCCUCAUGAAAGAAGUUUUGAUCUUCUUUCAUAUUUCGAUCUCACUGGGCCAACUUCCAUUAUCUAGCCUCCCCCCUCCCCCGAAGUUGUGUAAAGAUACAGAAUCAGCUUGUAAUUUGUGAGAAGAGUUUUAUCUACUGGCAAAAUUGAAGUGUUUAAGCAAGAGCUUAACGUGUUUCUUAUUUCCUUCUAUUGUGAUGCUGUAAUAUUGUGUUUAUGACAGUAAAAUAACAGUCACACUCCACAGGAAAGAAUCCUCAUUAAGCAGAACUAUCUCUGUAAUAAUCAAAUGCAACAUAACAUUCAUUAAACAAACACCUUGUGGUAUGAACAUUUAUCUUCAAACAUGACCCAGUUUAAAAGUUUGCCUUAGAAUGACAACUUACAUGUUCUUGCAGAAUUUUCUAACAUGCUUUGAGGGCUGAAAUUCAUUAAGUUUCUGAUUCUGGUUAUUUUGCCAAAUUUUGAAAACAUCAUGCUGUUUCCAGCUUUGUUUUUAUGAUGGUACGGCUAUUGUCACAUUCCUUUAGAAUCAGUGUAGCUAAACAUGACUACAUGUAUAUUUUAAAAACAAUUGAAUUUAUUGGUACUAUAUUUUUGAACAACCUACCCCAACAUAUGCGGUAUCCAAAAUUUAUGUAGUUUAUUGUUGAAGCAACUCUGUCAGUGCUUUCAUGCCUGCUAUUCUUCUGUUACCACUGGCUCAUAAACCACCACACACAUUUCAUUAACUUGUUACAAUAAAAUUCCAGCUAACAGCAAAGAUGAUAUACAGAAGGAACUUCAUCUUGCUUUGGGUUCUGUUGAGUCUUCAUUACUCGCAGUGUAGGCAGGUGGCUGCUACCUGCAGAAAAGCACACAGACUCACAUUUGGUAGAAUCCAUUGCUGUGCUUUGCUCCUAUAAGUGUUUUAUUCACAGUAGCAAGUGCCAUUAUACCCACUAGUUUCCCUACUGGCUUGCUGGCACAAUCUCUUCCCUUUUUUCUUCCCCUAUGGAUGUUGCUACAAACAACAGCAGCAUUAAGAGAAAAUUCUGAUAAAAUAUAUUUAGUAUGUAUCAAGACGUCUAAUCAUUCAAGCUGGGGUGGCAACAAUCCAUUCAGGGGCUCUUCAGGUGCAAGAACACUGUUCAUCCAUCAUAAAUCUGCACAGCAGUAGCGCUACAAGUACUACAAUGCAACUCUGCACACGUCCUGCAAAAGCUCCGUUAAGUUUAAGUGGGUACCACUAUACUGUUGCACACUGUGCAGAAUGGAGCUGCUCCCGAACAACUAUUUCCCAGACACUGGCCUCACCACAACAGCCCCAUGGCCCACAGCCCCAUAGCAGUCCUAAGGCUCAGCACCCUUGAAGGGUCGCUGCGCUACAACUCAGUGACAAACUGUAAUGGCAGAGAAGGUCAACCUGAAGGCUCCGAGCCGCGUCCGGUCAUUACGUAGCACAGUUCUCACCUAAGGCCCGACGCUGGCAGCCGGCGGCCAAG